rnacentral:rRNA from 1 species
AACGAACGCUGGCGGCAGGCUUAACACAUGCAAGUCGAGCGCCCCGCAAGGGGAGCGGCAGACGGGUGAGUGACGCGUGGGAAUCUACCCAUCUCUACGGAAUAACGCAUGGAAACGUGUGCUAAUACCGUAUACGUCCUUCGGGAGAAAGAUUUAUCGGAGAUGGAUGAGCCCGCGUUGGAUUAGCUAGCUGGUGGGGUAAAGGCCUACCAAGGCGACGAUCCAUAGCUGGUCUGAGAGGAUGAUCAGCCACACUGGGACUGAGACACGGCCCAGACCCCUACGGGAGGCAGCAGUGGGGAAUAUUGGACAAUGGGCGCAAGCCUGAUCCAGCCAUGCCGCGUGAGUGAUGAAGGCCCUAGGGUUGUAAAGCGCUUUCACCGGUGAAGAUAAUGACGGCAACCGGAGAAGAAGCCCCGGCUAACUUCGUGCCAGCCGCCGCCGUAACAC